CCUACGGGGGACAGCAGUCGAGAAUCAUUCACAAUGGGGGAAACCCUGAUGGUGCGACGCCGCGUGGGGGAAUGAAGGUCUUCGGAUUGUAAACCCCUGUCAUGUGGGAGCAAAUCAACAAGAUAGUACCACAAGAGGAAGAGACGGCUAACUCCAUGCCAGCAGCCGCGGUAAUACAGAGGGCGCAAGCGUUGUUCGGAAUGACUGGGCGUAAAGCGUGCGGAGGCUGCUUCGCAAGUCGUGUGUGAAAGGCGCGGGCUCAACCCGCGGACGGCACAUGAUACUGCGAGACUUGAGUAAUGGAGGGGCAACCGGAAUUCUCGGUGUAGCAGUGAAAUGCGUAGAUAUCGAGAGGAACACUCGUGGCGAAGGCGGGUUCCUGGACAUUAACUGACGCUGAGGCACGAAGGCCAGGGGAGCGAAAGGGAUUAGAUACCCCUGUAGUC
rnacentral:rRNA from 1 species